AUUGCCAGGAACCAUGCCACACCAUACCAGCCAGUGAGCCAGGCUGGUUCUUCUUAUCACAAAAGAUCAAAUGCCCAGGAACAUGAGUCAUCUGAAGAUUCCUGCUAAUGAGCAGAGCCCUGCAUGAGGGUUGACAAGACUGAAGCCCAGAGUUCUUUGUCCAUGAAGGUCGGACAAGAAUGAUCAGUGCCUGCUUCUCUUAACUUCGAAUCUGCUUUAGCAGAAAGAGCUUAAUGGAAAAGCAUGCCCUGCACUUCUGUUUUCCAUGAGGAGCCAGAAGUCAUCAGCAAAGCUGCAGCCUAAGAUGAGGGAAGCCAUUCGCCUCCUGGGGCCUCCAUGGAGUGAAUGCCUUUAAGAUGACAAGAGCUGGGAUGUAGGAGGAAGGUCAUUUUUCUCCAAUCUCACACUAAGAAAACGACUAUACAUCCAGGUUAUUCUGAACCAUGGAAAAAAACAGAAUCUUUUGUUAUUACCUGUUCUGAAUUCUUUUCAAAGAAAAAAUACAAAGGAAGCAAAGGAACAAUGAAAAUUGAGGGAUGAUGAGAAAAAAGAAAUGAAGGGAAGGAAGAAUGAAAAAAUAAAGGAGAAGUAUAGGAAGAAAGGAAGGAAAGAAGGAGAAAAUAUUCUUCUAACACUUAUAAAGACAGGACCAAGUGGGGAACUUGGACUUCCAUCCUACCUGGCUGUAAUGAGUGGCAUCCCCACCCUUCCUUCCUGUGCCAUAGAAGUGUCAGAGAAGGUCUGCUAAAAUAGAAGACUUAAGUGGAAUCCAGACACUCACAACAUACUACACAAAUGCUUAGUUAUCAGUGGAUGCCUCACCUUAGAAAAGUCCCGUAAAACUGAGGAAGAUUGUGGGAGGUAUCCUUGGGGGUCAUCUAGACCAGCACUCCAGCCUGCCCCAAAUCUACAGAUCAAAAAAGCAAAGUCUAGAGAAGUAACGUCUCAAGGUCACAUAAGUCAGUCCCUAUCAACAUCAGCACUAAAAUCAAGGCUUCCUAAAACCAGUCGGAUCAUUGUUCCAUUACAGCAUAUGGUAAUUCUCGUUAGAUGGAAAACAGAAAUAUUUAGAAAGUCCUAGGAGGGUCUUAUUUCUUGAAUGGAAAGUGAAGAUUUGACAUUCUUUAAGACUGCUGGUCAACUCCAGACAAGCUGUAUUAAAUAAUGAAGUGGGAACAGAGACUGUGAAAAAUCUAAGGGGAGGAAAAAAAAAGAAUCUUUAAAAAAAUGCUAUCGAUUUCAAAGCACUUAGAAUUACUAUUUUCCUUCCAUAUCUUUGGCUCCUUCUUCUAUUCUGGGUCCUAGUCAACUGUUAGUUUUACUGGAGUGUUCUAUCGAGGCCAAAUUAACACCCAAACUGGAAUUAAUACUCACC
rnacentral:lncRNA from 1 species